rnacentral:lncRNA from 1 species
UUCAUUUUAGCAAAUAUAACAAACUUCGCCAUGUAAGGAACGCAUAUUAAUUCUCUAUAAAGCUGUGUUGCCAGCCCAACAGUCUCUAGUACUUGAUGGCAGUCUGCAAGCCAAAAUCUGGCUGAAACAUUGGUUGUGAAGGAGACACAAUCAUUAGAAAAUGUCAGUGGAGUCGUGCCUGUGAUGUCCUCCCACUGCGCAGGUGAAGUACCUCCUGUAAUGCUACAUAAAAGUCGAAGGCUGGGCGUCGUGUCUCCUUUGUACCCAUUGGUUACACCUUCGCCUGAUGGAGGUGGCACAGGAAUUGUCAUGGUUAUUGGCUUAUGAAAUUUUCUUCUUCUUGGCUCCACAGUGACAAUGGGACUGAAAGUUGCUUUGUUUCCAAGGAUUUUUUUAACAAUCUCCUCUGGAACUGGUUGAGCCUGGAGUCCCACGCGGAUUCUUUUGGUUAGAGCACCCUCAGGGAAGGACGCCUGGACACGUGGCACGGUCGUGCUGCUCAGCACGCCACCCUCUGGGCCAAUUUGGUUACUCUCUUGCUUGAUUCGUGAAACCACUGCGAAGUACUGAGGGAAAUCCUUUGUGACAAUCCUACAGAUACGCUUCUUCUCUAGCUCCUCAACGCUGUCCAGCUCUUCAUCCAUGCCAUUGAGUACUUCAGUUAAGUCUUCAUGCUUGCUGUCAUACUGGUGCUCCUUCCACGUUUCGCCAUUUUCACUUCGAAGUACGAUUAACUCUCUUUCCUUUCCUCGCAUUGAUCCAAAAUGUGGGAUUUCCACUAUGACAGGGCCUAAGAAUUGUGCCCCUGCCGGCCCCAUUUCUACAAGUCUACUUGCUAAUCCUUCUCCUUCAACCAUUGGUGGUGGG